AUUGAACGCUGGCGGCAGGCCUAACACAUGCAAGUCGAACGAGUGGCGGACGGGUGAGUAAUGUCUGGGAAACUGCCCGAUGGAGGGGGAUAACUACUGGAAACGGUAGCUAAUACCGCAUACCAUCGGAUGUGCCCAGAUGGGAUUAGCUAGUGGGUGGGGUAACGGCUCACCUAGGCGACGAUCCCUAGCUGGUCUGAGAGGAUGACCAGCCACACUGGAACUGAGACACGGGCCAAGCUCAUACGGGAGGCCGGAGUGGGGAAUAUUGGACAAAGGGCGAAAGCCUGAUGCAGCCAUGCCGCGGGUAUGAAGAAGGCCUUCGGGUUGGAAAGUACUUUCAGCGAGGAGGCGUUACUCGCAGAAGAAGCACCGGCUAACUCCGUGCCAGCAGCCGCGGUAAUAC
rnacentral:rRNA from 1 species